rnacentral:rRNA from 1 species
AUGCGGGUCCCACGCGCAGGGGGGACUAGCGCGUCGCCCUCUUCCUCCUCCUGCCUCCCUGCUCGGAGACGGAGGAGCGAAGCAGGGGAGGGGGCGGCGAUGGGGCGGCUGGCUCAGGCCAGCUCCGGCCCGGCCGAGCACACCGGCGGGUGCGCGGGACCACACCACACCCGCUCCAAGAGAGAAGAGGCGCGGGGAGGCCUGGAGCUGUGGUUGUGGUUGGCAACAGAGAAGAACAGUGGGCGGGCGCCGGGAAUGGAGCAGACUGCUCCGGCCACCUCAAGCCAAGGCGCGGGCACCGGCGGCUUGAGGGCGGAGCACUGCACCCAUUCAGAGUCAAAGGAGGCGCCGGAGAGUGGUGGAGAGGCGGUGAGGCGCGGCAACCGGGGAGGCUACAAAGAGCUCGGUUGGUGGAGGUACUCGGCGAAGUAG